rnacentral:rRNA from 1 species
AGAGUUUGAUCCUGGCUCAGGACGAACGCUGGCGGCGUGCCUAACACAUGCAAGUCACGGGGGCCCGCAAGGGCAACCGGCGAACGGGUGCGUAACACGUGAGCAAUCUGCCGAUUUCUGGGGGAUAGCCGGUCCAACGACCGGGUAAUACCGCAUACGCUCAUUGGGGGACAUCCCCUGAUGAGGAAACCUCCGGGGGAAAUCGAGGAGCUUGCGGCCUAUCAGCUAGUUGGUGCGGUAACGGCGCACCAAGGCGACGACGGGUAGCUGGUCUGAGAGGAUGGCCAGCCACAUUGGGACUGCGACACGGCCCAGACUCCUACGGGAGGCAGCAGUGGGGAAUAUUGCGCAAUGGACGAAAGUCUGACGCAGCGACGCCGCGUGUGGGAUGAAG